AUACGGAGGGUGCAAGCGUUAAUCGGAAUUACUGGGCGUAAAGCGCGCGUAGGCGGCUUGAUAAGUCGGAUGUGAAAUCCCCGGGCUUAACCUGGGAAUUGCAUUCGAUACUGUCAGGCUAGAGUGUGGUAGAGGGAAGUGGAAUUUCCGGUGUAGCGGUGAAAUGCGUAGAUAUCGGAAAGAACAUCAGUGGCGAAGGCGGCUUCCUGGAUCAACACUGACGCUGAGGUGCGAAAGCGUGGGUAGCAAACGGGAUUAGAAACCCGAGUAGUCC
rnacentral:rRNA from 1 species